rnacentral:rRNA from 1 species
CGUAGUCUGGGAUAUGUAGGAGAACCCGCUGAACUGAAGCAUCUCAAUAAGCGGAGGAAAAGAAACUA